UACGUAGGGUGCGAGCGUUGUCCGGAAUUAUUGGGCGUAAAGGGCUCGUAGGCGGUUUGUCGCGUCAGGAGUGAAAACUCAGGGCUUAACCCUGAGCCUGCUUCCGAUACGGGCAGACUAGAGGUAUGCAGGGGAGAAUGGAAUUCCUGGUGUAGCGGUGAAAUGCGCAGAUAUCAGGAGGAACACCAGUGGCGAAGGCGGUUCUCUGGGCCUUACCUGACGCUCAGGCACGAAAGCUAGGGGAGCGAAUAGG
rnacentral:rRNA from 1 species